rnacentral:rRNA from 1 species
CGCGUGGGAAUCUACCUAGUAGUUGGGGACAACCUGGUGAAAACCAGGCUAAUACCGAAUACGCCCUACGGGGGAAAGAUAGCCUCUUCUUGAAAGCUUUCGCUAUUAGAUGAGCCCGCGUUAGAUUAGCUAGUUGGUGGGGUAAAGGCCUACCAAGGCGACGAUCUAUAGCUGGUCUGAGAGGAUGAUCAGCCACACUGGGACUGAGACACGGCCCAGACUCCUACGGGAGGCAGCAGUGGGGAAUAUUGCACAAUGGGCGCAAGCCUGAUGCAGCCAUGCCGCGUGUGUGAAGAAGGC